rnacentral:rRNA from 1 species
GAUGAACGCUAGCGAUAGGCUUAACACAUGCAAGUCGAGGGGCAGCAUGGUCUUAGCUUGCUAAGGCUGAUGGCGACCGGCGCACGGGUGCGUAACGCGUAUGCAACUUGCCUCACAGAGGGGGAUAACCCGUCGAAAGACGGACUAAUACCGCGUACACUCUAUGUUGGGCAUCCAAUGUAGAGGAAAUGAAAUUCGCUGUGAGAUAGGCAUGCGUCCCAUUAGCUAGUUGGUGAGGUAACGGCUCACCAAGGCGACGAUGGGUAGGGGAACUGAGAGGUUGAACCCCCACACUGGUACUGAGACACGGACCAGACUCCUACGGGAGGCAGCAGUGAGGAAUAUGGGUCAAUGGGCGAGAGCCUGAACCAGCCAAGUCGCGUGAAGGAUGACUGUCUUAUGGAUUGUAAACUUCUUUUAUACGGGAAUAACAAGAGUCACGUGUGGCUCCCUGCAUGUACCGGAUGAAUAAGCAUCGGCUAACUCCGUG